AAAAUGCUAUUUUUGAGAUUUCUCCGGCAGAGACUGUCGGCGUUUUCGAGGUUAAGGCCAAGUUCAUGGGCGUGCACUUGGAGACGUUACAGUUGGAAUAUCAGGAUCUCCUCCAGCUGCAGUAUGAAGGUGUGGCGGUGAUGAAGCUCUUCGACAGAGCCACCAUCAAUGUCAACCUGCUCAUUUUCCUUCUCAACAAGAAAUUUUACGGGAAAUAGAAAGAGGAUAAAAGGGCUACGGACACUGAUUCAAACCACAAGGCCCGCUUUGAGGGUUGCAGAAAGCCCUGACCUGAACCACCCUGCUUCCUACACAUUCCCCUCUGCACUUCUCUCAUGUGCCUUAUGCAAAUGUAUGUGUAUUAUGUGGAUCACCAUAUGUGCUUUAUUCUUAAUAGAAUAGCCAGUAGGCCACAGAAGCUUGCUGGAGUCUUUUUUCUCACUGUCUUUUUGUCUGUAACUGCGUAUAGGUCAGAGGUUUAAGAUUUGUAUGUUUUGCUUUAAAUAUUAUAAAAAUCUCGUGCAUGGGCCUUGAUUAAUUAUAAAAUGUACGUUUUAUGUAAAGAGAUAACGUUUUGUGUCUUUAUUAGCUGAUAGUUUAUCCGCUCACCUGAAUGUUAAAUGCUUUCAGAAAAUCUCCUCCACCAAAACUACACAAAAGUGCUAGUUUACUUUUCAGCAGGGCUGCGGUCAGGCUGGAUUCAAAACCUUCUCUGGGCCGCUUCGUGUCUUCAAACUGCACAGAAAAAUGGAGCAGUUGUCGAGGGAAAAAACAAGAUUAGAGAUGAUUACUUCUCGUUUUAUUUAAGUGUUUUUCACAUGCUUUGAUUGGAAAAUUAUUAAACUCUUGAGAUUUGACCCACCUGAAUGCAUACUUAACACACCAAAGAAGAUCGUUAAAAUCUUAAAUUCCAUCAAAUGAAACACUCUUUGUUUUUAUAAAUGUCUUCAAUCAAUUUUUCAAACUGAGAAUUUUAAGAAUUUUCUGAUGGUGCAUUGUAAAAUUACAAAAUAUUUGGUAUUAUCUUUUUACUUAAUUGUUAUAUCAUUUAAUAAAUUUAUCUUGCAUUAAAUCCAAAGAACAUGAUAUUAAUAAUAAUAAAAACAAUAACCUAUUAAUAAUAACACAUAUUAAGUACAUUUCCCCCAAAAUAGCAAUCUGAUAAGUGAUAAAAAAAGACAUUGCAACAAAAUUAGCAUCCUGCUCAUAUCGAGUUCAAUUCUGUUUUUAUUAAAUGAAAUUUAAGAAACAACUAUAAAUUAAAAUCGGUAUGUUGAUAACACAUUUUAUACAAUUCUAAAUAUCAAACCCGUUAUUCUUAAACUGCUUUCAUAGACAGCAGUUUUAGUUAAAUUAUUGACAGUUUAAGAAACUGUUAGCUGUUAGUGAUUGGUUUCUCAUUGUGUGGUUAAUCUUUACAUUUUCUCUAAAUGUGUUGCCUGAGCAGGACAAAAUUUCACCUGACACCCCUUAGUGUUUCCUGGCACUUGCCUUGCUUUGGAGCCUUUCCUGUCUUUAUUUUUUUUUGUUGAGUCAGGCUGUUGGUUUGUUUUUGGACCUGACUGAGCAACUGCCAUGACGACAGCCCUGCUGCUCACAACUGACCUGCAGCGCAUGUCUUUCUUUAACUUCAACAUGCAUGAGCAGGAAGUGACAGGGCGCUUAGUGGAAAUAUUACUUUUUUCUUUCUCUGUCCAUCUUGUAUAACUGAAACACAGGUCAUUAUGACAUUUAAAAGUCAGUUUAGUAAUAAGCACAGCAUGUGAAAAAAUGUGUAAAACAAAUGGGUGGGAUCUAAAAGUGUUAGAUUUUUAAUAACGUCUUUUUGAAAAUAAUUUGACAAAGUUGCCCUUAUUUAUAUUUAUUUUGUCAGUCCAUAUUAUGCUAGUUGCAAAACCCUAAAACAGAUAAUGUAAUUAAGCUUGAGGAUGUGCAGUAUUACAGUCCUGUGGGUCCAGUAGAUAUCACUGGACACCAUUUAUUUCUCAGUUUAUUGUAUCAGAGUUUGACCUAUUUUAAGAGGCCUUGAAUGAGAUCCUCUUAAACAAAAUGAUGAUUUUCUGCCUUAUGUAAAGAUGCCAUGACCAGAGGUUGACACUGUUAUUGGAAAAAGAGGGGCUUUAUUCUCUCUACAUCUCUUCAAGUACUGAACAAGAUUGUGUUAAUGGACUUAAUUCAGUCCAUUAAAUGUAUAUUAUGUUUUAGAAUAAAGCUCUACAUAUAC